rnacentral:rRNA from 1 species
CUGCUAAUACCGCAUAAGCUGUGAGGAGCACAUGCUCUAAAUAGAAAAGGAGCAAUCCGCUGAUAGAUGAGCUUGCGUCUGAUUAGUUAGUUGGUGAGGUAACGGCCCACCAAGACGAUGAUCAGUAGCCGGACUGAGAGGUUGAACGGCCACAUUGGGACUGAGAUACGGCCCAGACUCCUACGGGAGGCAGCAGUCGGGAAUAUUGCGCAAUGGAGGAAACUCUGACGCAGUGACGCCGCGUGCAGGAAGAAGGUUUUCGGAUUGUAAACUGCUUUAGACAGGGACGAAAUAAAUGACGGUACCUGUAGAAUAAGCUCCGGCUAACUACGUGCCAGCAGCCGCGGUAAUACGUAGGGAGCAAGCGUUAUCCGGAUUUAUUGGGUGUAAAGGGUGCGUAGACGGAAAGACAAGUUAGUUGUGAAAUACCUCGGCUUAACUGAGGAACUGCAACUAAAACUAUCUAUCUUGAGUACUGGAGGGGAAAGCGGAAUUCCUAGUGUAGCGGUGAAAUGCGUAGAUAUUAGGAAGAACACCGGUGGCGAAGGCGGCUUUCUGGACAGUAACUGACGUUGAGGCACGAAAGUGUGGGGAGCAAACAGGAUUAGAUACCCUGGUAGUC